AUUGAACGCUGGCGGCAUGCCUUACACAUGCGAGUCGAACGGCAGCGCGGGAGCAAUCCUGGCGGCGAGUGGCGAACGGGUGAGUAACAUAUCGGAACGUGCCCAGGAGUGGGGGAUAGCCCGGCGAAAGCCGGAUUAAUACCGCAUACGAUCUAUGGAUGAAAGCGGGGGAUCGCAAGACCUCGCGCUCAUGGAGCGGCCGAUAUCUGAUUAGCUAGUUGGUGGGGUAAGAGCCUACCAAGGCGACGAUCAGUAGCUGGUCUGAGAGGACGACCAGCCACACUGGGACUGAGACACGGCCCAGACUCCUACGGGAGGCAGCAGUGGGGAAUUUUGGACAAUGGGGGCAACCCUGAUCCAGCAAUGCCGCGUGUGUGAAGAAGGCCUUCGGGUUGUAAAGCACUUUUGUCCGGAAAGAAAUCCCCUGGGAUAAUACCCCAGGGGGAUGACGGUACCGGAAGAAUAAGCACCGGCUAACUACGUGCCAGCCGCCGCAGUAACAC
rnacentral:rRNA from 1 species